rnacentral:ncRNA from 1 species
UAAAAAACGAUGAUGGAACAAGUACGUAUUUGCAAGUGUUCAGAAAGGGAUUUCUAGGCUGAAAAAAUCCUCACAACAAGCAAAUGCCGAAAGCUACUCCUGAGUGCAGCUAACCCCUGCCGUUCACUUACGUUACAAGUGCUUGAGAGGUAAGUUUUAAUAACUUACAACUAGGGUGGUACCGCGAGAUGAUUAUAAGUCCUCGUCCCUUUU